rnacentral:sRNA from 1 species
CGUUGGAACCAACGACUUUAACGAGUUGCCAACGACUUUAACGAGCCGCCCACGACUGAGUCCUUAUUUAUACUAGUACCUUACCCUAACUAUCCUUCGGUGGCACCUUCGCCGCCGUUGGAACACAUAAACUCUUUUUGCAUCUAGCAUUACCUGUUCUGAUAAAAAUAAUCGUUACAACUUUCAACAAUGGAUCUCUUGGCUCUGGCAUCGAUGAAGAACGCAGCGAAAUGCGAUAAGUAGUGUGAAUUGCAGAAUUCAGUGAAUCAUCGAAUCUUUGAACGCACAUUGCGCCCCUUGGUAUUCCAUGGGGCAUGCCUGUUCGAGCGUCAUCUACACCCUCAAGCUCUGCUUGGUGUUGGGCGUCUGUCCCGCCUCUUGCGCGUGGACUCGCCCCAAAUUCAUUGGGAGGCGGUCUUUGCCUCCUCUCGCGCAGCACAUUGCGCUCCUAGGGGUUGAGAUCCGCCUCCCCGAAGCACAUUUACCCGCUUUGACCU